GUCAACUUGUAUUUCAAGGCGAGCCCCUGGCCUUGCAAAUUCACUCUGCUGACUGGAGAGAGAGAUGGAGCUGCUGCUGCCUGCCUUGCUGUCUGUGGAGAGUCUCUCUGUCUGCUUUUCAGAGCUACAAGGUCAGAAGCCUGCUGUCUGCUCCAGGUCCUUUCCAGAGCAGCAGCUCAUGCAGAGCAAUCCUGGACCUGCUGCCUAAAGCCUGUCCUCUGGUUCCUGAUUGGUUGACUUCAGCCUGCCUGGCUUCACAUCUGCCUUGCCUUCAGCCCACUGCUCUGCUGUUUGAUCUCAGCCUUCCUGACCUUGCCCCUGGCUUGCCCAUAGUAUCCUCUGUUCUUCUGUUUUGACCUCAGACCUGCCUGGCCCUGCUUUCACCUUGCUCCAGUACCCGCUGCCUUUUGGUGUGACCCAUUGCCUUUUGGUGCUCUUGCCUUGCCCUCUGUACCUGCUACUCUUUGGUUGACUUCGGCCUGCCUGACCCUGCCUUCACCUUGCUUGUCUCUUGGCUGCCCUCUGUGGGGAUCUCAGGCUGACUUCCGGAUGCCAACAGUGCCACCUAUUCCUGGUUUUCAGUGAGUGCCAUAAUGGACCAGAGCACUGCGUCUGCUUACAUGGCCAGUCCUGGCCAGCCCGAUUCCCAACACAGACCAAACAUGCAGUGUAAUAAAUGCCAUCUUAUUCUCCACCCUGGAGUCCCAAAGGCCUUCUUGAACAGCAGUGUUUUAACAAGUUUCCUAAAAGCUGGGAGAAAGUCAGCCAGGUGGGCCUUCCUAUAGAGGCUGCUGUGCAGAAUACAGCAGCUCUUAAGCAAAGGUGAACCAUGGCAAUAGUCCAGAAAAUGACAUCUCCUUGAAGCCAACCAUGUUGUCUAGAUUUCUUCAACAGCAGUCCUGGUUUAAAAGCUGACAAAAAAUUUGAAGGUAGAAGCAGAUAAAAGCAGACCAAGGAGGAGGCAGAUCCCUUUCCUGGUCUUACAGCUUAUUUUGUAAGAUAGAACCAGGACAGCUGGGCAUCCAUCAUUGCAAUGUAUAUGAAGAUUUAGUGAGAUUGAUGCAGAAGGAAAGGAUGAGUGCAUUAACAAAUCUAUCAGUCCAAAAGUCAGGGGUACUGUUAACCAAGAAGUACAUUAUGGUGAUUCCAUCAAAAUGUUCUGUUAUUUAUUUAACUUUUCCAUUUUCAUUUUUAUUUGGGUAAGAUAAUUGCCUGCGAUAAGCUGUCUUUGCAGAAGGCUGGAAGCAUGGAAGAAACGCAGCUGUUAGACUGGGAUAUGCACUUUCAGCCGUAGCAUUAGAGCCGUGUGAUGGCCAGGCUGUAUUUGCAUACUGAAACGAUCUCAGUUAAAGUCUUUUAUCAGAUGACUUCAAAGAAAGAAACUCUUGAAACACGGUGUUUUUCUCCCUUCUGUGAACUACAGGCUAUUAGGGUUCUGAUAUGUUUAUCUGCAUUUGUAGAGAUGAUCAUUUUAAGAUUGAUUUAAUAUGUAAUAAAAGAUACACGUCUUUCCUUAA